CGCCACAGGCUGCCCUUUAUCAGGGGAGCAAGUGACCAACUUCCCUGCCUGUUCUGAGGCUGCAAGACGGUCCACUGCUGGUGGGUCUGGCAGGGCUGACUUAUGGAGUAAUUUCUCCCAGUGUCUGGAAGCAGCUUUCUGCCCAUGCCUGGGGUCAGGGCAGGACAGAGGCUAUGGGGAGGGGUUGAGUGUCUUGCCCAAAGUCACAAGGCAGCUCAAAAGUGGUGACGCAAGGACUGGACCCCAGAUCUGACUUGUGUGCCCU
ensembl:lncRNA novel transcript